rnacentral:lncRNA from 1 species
UUAUGAAAGUGUAACAAAUGUAAUUUUAAAGACCUUGAAACUUGGUGAGAACUUGAAUUCUUCAUAUUAUUAAAACCAUUUGGCCAGACACGGUGGUUCACGCCUGUAAUCCCAGCACUUUAGGAGGCCGAGGCGGGCAGAUCACCUGAGGUCGGGAGUUCAAGACCAGCCUGACCAAAAUGGAGAACCCCGUCUCUACUAAAAAUACAAAAAAUUUGCUGGGCAUGGUGGUACAUGCCUGUAAUCUCAGCUACUCAGGAGGCUGAGGCAGGAGAAUCGCUUGAACCCGGGAGGAAGAGGUUGCAGUGAGCCGAGAUCACACCAUUAUACUCCAGCCUGGGCAACAAGAGCGAAACUCCAUCUCAAAAAAAAAAAAAAAUCUCUCAAAAGAUACUUAAAGUAGGAACUCAAAUAAAUAUGUGUACACCUGUGUUCAUAGCAACAUCAUUUUACAGUAGCCAAAAGGUAGAAACAACACAAAUGUUCAUUGAUGGAUUAAUGGAUAAACAAAAUGUAGCAAAUACAUACAAUGGAAUAUUAUUCAGCCUUGAAAAGGAAGGAAUUCUGACACAGGCUACAACAUGGAUAAACCUUGAGGAUACCACACAAAGUGAAAUAAGCCAGUCACAAAAAGACAAAUACUGAAUGAUUCCACUUAUUUUAGGUACCUAGAGCAGUCAAAUUCAUAGAGAUAGAAAAUAGAAUGGUAGGCUGGGUGCUGUGACUCACACCUGUAAUCCCAGCACUUUGGGAGGUCAAGGUGGGCAGAUCACAAGGUCAGAAGUUCGAGACCAGCCUGGUCAACAUGGCGAAACCCUGUCUCUACUAAAAAUUCAAAAACUAGCCAGGUGUGUUGGCAGAUGCCUGUAAUCCCAGCUACUUGGGAGGCUGAGGCAGAGAAUUGCUUGAACCUGGGAGGCGGAGGUUGCAGUGAGCCGAGAUCACACUACUGCCCUCCAGCCUGGGUGAAUGAGACUCUGUCUCAAAAAAAAAAGAAAAAGGAAGAAUGGUUAUUGCUAGGGGCUGUAAAAAAUUAGGAGUUAGUGUUGUGUUCUUAUUUUGUUUGUUUGUUUGUUUUAUUUUAGAGGCAGAGUC